UACGAAGGGUGCAAGCGUUACUCGGAAUUACUGGGCGUAAAGCGUGCGUAGGUGGUGAGUUAAGUCUGUCGUGAAAGCCCCGGGCUCAACCUGGGAAUGGCGAUGGAUACUGGCUCGCUAGAGUGCGGUAGAGGAGAGUGGAAUUCCCGGUGUAGCAGUGAAAUGCGUAGAGAUCGGGAGGAACAUCAGUUGCGAAGGCGGCUCUCUGGACCAGCACUGACACUGAGACACGAAAGCGUGGGUAGCAAACAGG
rnacentral:rRNA from 1 species